rnacentral:SRP_RNA from 1 species
GCCUGGCGUGGUGGAGCGUGCCUGUAGUCCCAGCUACUCGGGAGGCUGAGGCAGAAGAAUCACUUGAAUCCAGGAGGCGGAGGUUGCAGUGAGCCGAGAUCAUGCCACUGCAUUCCAGCCUGGGUGACAGAGUGAGAUUCUGUCUCAA